UAGAGUUUGAUCCUGGCUCAGAUUGAACGCUGGCGGCAGGCCUAACACAUGCAAGUCGAGCGGUAACAGAGAGUAGCUUGCUACUUUGCUGACGAGCGGCGGACGGGUGAGUAAUGCUUGGGAACAUGCCUUGAGGUGGGGGACAACAGUUGGAAACGACUGCUAAUACCGCAUAAUGUCUACGGACCAAAGGGGGCUUCGGCUCUCGCCUUUAGAUUGGCCCAAGUGGGAUUAGCUAGUUGGUGAGGUAAUGGCUCACCAAGGCGACGAUCCCUAGCUGGUUUGAGAGGAUGAUCAGCCACACUGGGACUGAGACACGGCCCAGACUCCUACGGGAGGCAGCAGUGGGGAAUAUUGCACAAUGGGCGCAAGCCUGAUGCAGCCAUGCCGCGUGUGUGAAGAAGGCCUUCGGGUUGUAAAGCACUUUCAGUCAGGAGGAAAGGUUAGUAGUUAAUACCUGCUAGCUGUGACGUUACUGACAGA
rnacentral:rRNA from 1 species